UACGUAGGGUGCGAGCGUUGUCCGGAUUUAUUGGGCGUAAAGAGCUCGUAGGCGGCUUGUCGCGUCGAAUGUGAAAACUCGGGGCUCAACCCCGCGCUUGCAUUCGAUACGGGCAGGCUCGAGUUCGGUAGGGGAGACUGGAAUUCCUGGUGUAGCGGUGAAAUGCGCAGAUAUCAGGAGGAACACCGGUGGCGAAGGCGGGUCUCUGGGCCGAAAGUUGGACGCUGGACGGAAGCGAAAGCGUGGGGAGCAAACAGGA
rnacentral:rRNA from 1 species